rnacentral:lncRNA from 1 species
GUGAAAGCAUGGGGAUCAGUGAUCAGAGAUCCAGUAACUACAGAAAGAACCAAGUACUUGAAAUCCCAGUGCUGUGUGUUCAAAAGACAUGGAAAUUAUUGAAGCUUACUUGUCAAUAAGCCUAGCCAAUCAGUGACUUUAAGGUCAAUGAGAGAUUAUCUUAAAACUAAGAUAGAGAAUAUUUCAUAGAUUCUUGAAACUACUGUCUAGCCUACAAACAUAUACAUAUUCAUAUGCAACAAUGCACAUGCACACACAUAUAAGCACAUUCACUCACAUACAAACACACACAUGUGCACAUUCAAUGACACACAUACAUGUGCACAUGCACCAACACACACACAAACACACACACACAUAAAUACACUCAUGUGUGAUGUAGCAACCAACACAUAUUUACAUUUACGAACAUAUUCCCCAACACACACACACACACACACACAUGUGCACGUUCACCAACACAUGCCUAUUCCCCAACAUACACGCAUGCAUGUGCAACAUUGCACACAGGUGUGCACAUGUAGCAACCAACACACAUAAGCACAUACAUCAACACACAUAAGUAAACAUAUAUAUGUGUGUGUGUGUGUGUAUAUACAUAUAUAUACAAUAAUUAAUACAUACACCAUCUACACAUACACAUAUCAUAUAUGCACACACACACACACACACACACACACACACACACAGAGAGAGAGAGAGAGAGAGAGACAUAUGAGUGCAGCCUGCCAAGUUUAGUUAUCUUUGUUCAAAUUAUGUGUGUAUGUCUGCCAUUUCAGAUUAGGUAACCUAUUAAACUAGGCAUCCUCAAAGAAGAGUGGCAGGCCCCUCUCGCAGCAGUCCUGUCUGUAGCUUUUUCUUAGAGGAAUGGUGUCUUGUGAGAUUUUUCUGGUCCACACUGGCAUUUCAACUGGUAUCGCCACUGUACUGGUAUUGUUUAGGUGGCCCUGUUGUUGAGAUUUCGUAAUAAAGUUACUCCGAUAUGCAGAAGAUGUUAUGCCCCUGCCAAUAUCCUGGUGAUCUGACAAUUAACAGCAGUGCUGGCUGGGCACACCAUAGUCAGUAGUUCUCUCAUUUUGGCCAGUUUUCUGUAAAAAUCCUUGUCUAUUUCUGUAAUAAUUCUUGUCUGUUUCUGUAAUAAUCCUUGUCUUUUGCAAACAGAAAUGUUUGGAAAAGAAAGGAUUGAAGUAAGGGAUGAGAGCAACACUGAUCCUGGGUAUAAGGAUAAUUAUUUAGAAAUUAUCUGGUUUAAGAAAUUAUACUGGUGAGAAACAAAAACAAACAAACAAACAACAAAAAAAAAACAAAACCAAAAACAAACAAAUAAAAAAGAAGGCAGUGGCAGAUUAGUACCUGGGACUUAUAACCAUAUCAACCACGUCUGGGUUUUGUGUACAAGGCUUGAAUCCCCUUCUAUUGAAUGGUCUUAUAUCCAGUUAAAUGGCUGUUGGUUACUCUUAACAUAUUAUGAGCUACUAUUGCACCUUUAAGAACAUCUUGUUACACUGGUUAUUGGGGAAGCUAGUCUUUGCAGCUAGUUAGAACUAGGAUUCCUCUUCUCUCUUGGGAUCAUGCAUUGUAGCUUCAGUAGUAUGCUAUACCACGAUAACUAGUCCUCAGCGAGGAGGAUUUCACGUCAGUACCAGCUCAGUUCUUUCAAGUACUGUGUCUACUGUUUGAGGUUUCUUUAGCAGUAGAAUCUUGCAUUCAAGUUUUGGGAAGUAACUAAGUGUAAUGUGAAGAGUCUAUACUGUUUGGGGGAGUCUCUAAAUCCUCCCUGUUCAGCAGCUUGAAGGCAGGUUUCCCACAUCUGUCACUGAGGAAUUUGCUAUCUUCUCUAUGGCCCUGUGAGUGAAAAUUAUCAGCCAGUGUCAGGACUUCAUUUAAAUUGUAUCAUUUUGUAUCCAAAUUUAUUACAUACACUUUAAGUGAACAUAAAAUAUUUUCUUCCUCUAUGUUUCUUCAAAUACCCUUAGUCUCACCUAAUCUUCCUCUAUCCAUCUUCCUCCUUCCAUCUUACUUCUUUCUUCAUCAGAUAAAGCCAACCCCCACCCCCAUGUUUCCCCCUUCCUUACUUUAAGGCACAUGUGUCCUGCUUUCUACCUCGUUGCAGCUGACCCCUGCUUGUCUCUACUUAGUAUCCUGGAUAAUGUGGUUACUCCUUGCUAUAUAGUCAUCUAAGGAUUCUGAGCCACAUUACACACAUAGGAGAGAACUUGUGAUAUUUUUCUUUCUGCACAAGUCUCCCAUUUUCUAGUCCUAUACAUUCAACUAUACAUUUCAUUUUGCUCACAUUCUAGAAGUCCAUUAUUCCAUUGUGUUUAUGUAGCACCCUUAUCUGAUCAUCGGUUGAAGGACAGUCAGGUUGUGCUUAUUUCUAUGAUAUGAAUAAUCUAGUCAAUGGGCAUUACUGAGCAAUUCCCUGUGGAGGAAGUUGUCAAGUCCUUUGUGCAUAUGAUAAGGAGUAGAAUAGCUGAGUCUUGCUGAACUUCUAAUAAAACAUAGGCAGUACCCUACAAGAUACAGGCA